UACGUAGGGGGGCAAGCGUUGUCCGGAAUUAUUGGGCGUAAAGAGCGCGUAGGCGGUCCGAUAAGUCGGCUGUGAAAGUCAGGGGCUCAACCCUUGGAAGCCGGCCGAUACUGUCGGACUAGAGUCCGGAAGAGGCAAGUGGAAUUCCCGGUGUAGCGGUGAAAUGCGCAGAUAUCGGGAGGAACACCAAUGGCGAAGGCAGCUUGCUGGGACGGUACUGACGCUGAGGCGCGAAAGCGGUGGGGAGCAAACGGGG
rnacentral:rRNA from 1 species